ACUCCUACGGGAGGCAGCAGUGGGGAAUAUUGGACAAUGGGCGCAAGCCUGAUCCAGCCAUGCCGCGUGCAGGAUGAAGGCCUUCGGGUUGUAAACUGCUUUUGUACGGAACGAAAAGACUCCUUCUAAUAAAGGGGGUCCAUGACGGUACCGUAAGAAUAAGCACCGGCUAACUACGUGCCAGCAGCCGCGGUAAU
rnacentral:rRNA from 1 species